rnacentral:rRNA from 1 species
CGGUUAAGUUAGAAAGGGCGCACGGUGGAUGCCUUGGCACUAGGAGCCGAUGAAGGACGGGACUAACACCGAUAUGCUUCGGGGAGCUGUAAGUAAGCUUUGAUCCGGAGAUUUCCGAAUGGGGGAACCCACUGCACGUAAUGGUGCAGUAUCCAUACUUGAAUACAUAGAGUAUGGAAGGCAGACCCGGGGAACUGAAACAUCUAAGUACCCGGAGGAAGAGAAAGCAAACGCGAUUCCCUGAGUAGCGGCGAGCGAAACGGGAUUAGCCCAAACCAAGAGGCUUGCCUCUUGGGGUUGUAGGACACUCUAUACGGAGUUACAAAGGAACGAAGUAGACGAAGAAGUCUGGAAAGGCUCGUCACAGAAGGUAAUAACCCUGUAGUCGAAACUUCGUUCCCUCUUGAGUGGAUCCUGAGUACGGCGGGACACGAGAAAUCCCGUCGGAAGCUGGGAGGACCAUCUCCCAAGGCUAAAUACUCCCUAGUGACCGAUAGUGAACCAGUACCGUGAGGGAAAGGUGAAAAGCACCCCGGAAGGGGAGUGAAAUAGAACCUGAAACCGUGUGCCUACAAGUAGUCAGAGCCCGUUAACGGGUGAUGGCGUGCCUUUUGUAGAAUGAACCGGCGAGUUACGAUCCCAUGCAAGGUUAAGUCGGAAAGACGGAGCCGCAGCGAAAGCGAGUCUGAAUAGGGCGAAUGAGUAUGUGGUCGUAGACCCGAAACCAGGUGAUCUACCCAUGUCCAGGGUGAAGUUCAGGUAACACUGAAUGGAGGCCCGAACCCACGCACGUUGAAAAGUGCGGGGAUGAGGUGUGGGUAGCGGAGAAAUUCCAAUCGAACUUGGAGAUAGCUGGUUCUCUCCGAAAUAGCUUUAGGGCUAGCCUCAUGUAGUAAGAGUCUUGGAGGUAGAGCACUGUUUGGACUAGGGGCCCUCAUCGGGUUACCGAAUUCAGACAAACUCCGAAUGCCAAAGACUUAUCCAUGGGAGUCAGACUGCGAGUGAUAAGAUCCGUAGUCGAAAGGGAAACAGCCCAGACCACCAGCUAAGGUCCCAAAGUAUACGUUAAGUGGAAAAGGAUGUGGAGUUGCUUAGACAACCAGGAUGUUGGCUUAGAAGCAGCCACCAUUUAAAGAGUGCGUAAUAGCUCACUGGUCGAGUGACUCUGCGCCGAAAAUGUACCGGGGCUAAACGUAUCACCGAAGCUGUGGAUUGACACCGUUUGGUGUCAGUGGUAGGAGAGCGUUCUAAGGGCUGUGAAGCUGGACCGUAAGGACUGGUGGAGCGCUUAGAAGUGAGAAUGCCGGUAUGAGUAGCGAAAGACAGGUGAGAAUCCUGUCCACCGAAUGCCUAAGGUUUCCUGAGGAAGGCUCGUCCGCUCAGGGUUAGUCGGGACCUAAGCCGAGGCCGAAAGGCGUAGGCGAUGGAUAACAGGUUGAUAUUCCUGUACCACCUCUUUUCCGUUUGAGUGAUGGGGGGACGCAGGAGGAUAGGGUAAGCGCGCUGUUGGAUAUGCGCGUCUAAGCAGUUAGGCUGGUGAUGAGGCAAAUCCCGUCACCGUGAAGGCUGAGCUGUGAUAGCGAGGGAAAUAUAGUACCGAAGUUCCUGAUUCCACACUGCCAAGAAAAGCCUCUAGCGAGGAAAAAGGUGCCCGUACCGCAAACCGACACAGGUAGGCGAGGAGAGAAUCCUAAGGUGAGCGAGAGAACUCUCGUUAAGGAACUCGGCAAAAUGACCCCGUAACUUCGGGAGAAGGGGUGCUCUGGUAGGGUGCAAGCCCGAGAGAGCCGCAGUGAAUAGGCCCAGGCGACUGUUUAGCAAAAACACAGGUCUCUGCGAAGCCGUAAGGCGAAGUAUAGGGGCUGACGCCUGCCCGGUGCUGGAAGGUUAAGGGGAGUGCUUAGCGCAAGCGAAGGUGCGAACCGAAGCCCCAGUAAACGGCGGCCGUAACUAUAACGGUCCUAAGGUAGCGAAAUUCCUUGUCGGGUAAGUUCCGACCCGCACGAAAGGCGCAACGAUCUGGGCACUGUCUCAACGAGAGACUCGGUGAAAUUAUAGUACCUGUGAAGAUGCAGGUUACCCGCGACAGGACGGAAAGACCCCGUGGAGCUUUACUGUAGCCUGAUAUUGAAUUUUGGCACAGCUUGUACAGGAUAGGUAGGAGCCUAAGAAACCGGAGCGCCAGCUUCGGUGGAGGCGUCGGUGGGAUACUACCCUGGCUGUGUUGAACUUCUAACCCGCGCCCCUUAUCGGGGUGGGAGACAGUGUCAGGUGGGCAGUUUGACUGGGGCGGUCGCCUCCUAAAGAGUAACGGAGGCGCCCAAAGGUUCCCUCAGAAUGGUUGGAAAUCAUUCGCAGAGUGUAAAGGCACAAGGGAGCUUGACUGCGAGACCUACAAGUCGAGCAGGGACGAAAGUCGGGCUUAGUGAUCCGGUGGUUCCGCAUGGAAGGGCCAUCGCUCAACGGAUAAAAGCUACCCCGGGGAUAACAGGCUUAUCUCCCCCAAGAGUCCACAUCGACGGGGAGGUUUGGCACCUCGAUGUCGGCUCAUCGCAUCCUGGGGCUGUAGUCGGUCCCAAGGGUUGGGCUGUUCGCCCAUUAAAGCGGUACGCGAGCUGGGUUCAGAACGUCGUGAGACAGUUCGGUCCCUAUCCGUCGUGGGCGCAGGAAAUUUGAGAGGAGCUGUCCUUAGUACGAGAGGACCGGGAUGGACGCACCGCUGGUGUACCAGUUGUCUUGCCAAAGGCAUCGCUGGGUAGCUAUGUGCGGAAGGGAUAAGUGCUGAAAGCAUCUAAGCAUGAAGCCCCCCUCGAGAUGAGAUUUCCCAUCACUUUAUGUGAGUAAGAUCCCUGAAAGAUGAUCAGGUAGAUAGGUCUGAGGUGGAAGCGUGGCGACACGUGCAGCUGACAGAUACUAAUCGAUCGAGGACUUAACCAC